rnacentral:rRNA from 1 species
GAUUGCAGGCUGCAACCGCCUGCAUGAAGUCGGAAUUGCUAGUAAUCGCGAAUCAGAAUGUCGCGGUGAAUACGUUCCCGGGUCUUGUACACACCGCCCGUCACACCAUGGGAGUCGGAAAUGCCCGAAGCCGGUGACCCAACCAAAAGGAGGGAGCCGUCGAAGGCAGGUCUGAUAACUGGGGUGAAGUCGUAACAAGGUAAC